rnacentral:rRNA from 1 species
AAAAGACCAUCUCAUUCGGAUUGUAGUCUGNAACCGACUACAUGAAGCUGGAAUCGCUAGUAAUCGCAGAUCAGAAUGCUGCGGUGAAUACGUUCCCGGGUCUUGUACACACCGCCCGUCACACCAUGGGAGUUGGAAAUGCCCGAAGCCAGUGACCCAACCGUAAGGAGGGAGCUGUCGAAGGUGGAGCCGAUGACUGGGGUGAAGUCGUAACAAGGUAUC